CUAACGUGGAUCCGUAAUCCGGGUUGCGGACAGUGUCUGGUGGGUAGUUUGACUGGGGCGGUCUCCUCCUAAAGAGUAACGGAGGAGCACGAAGGUUGGCUAAUCCUGGUCGGACAUCAGGAGGUUAGUGCAAUGGCAUAAGCCAGCUUGACUGCGAGCGUGACGGCGCGAGCAGGUGCGAAAGCAGGUCAUAGUGAUCCGGUGGUUCUGAAUGGAAGGGCCAUCGCUCAACGGAUAAAAGGUACUCCGGGGAUAACAGGCUGAUACCGCCCAAGAGUUCAUAUCGACGGCGGUGUUUGGCACCUCGAUGUCGGCUCAUCACAUCCUGGGGCUGAAGUAGGUCCCAAGGGUAUGGCUGUUCGCCAUUUAAAGUGGUACGCGAGCUGGGUUUAGAACGUCGUGAGACAGUUCGGUCCCUAUCUGCCGUGGGCGCUGGAGAACUGAGGGGGGCUGCUCCUAGUACGAGAGGACCGGAGUGGACGCAUCACUGGUGUUCGGGUUGUCAUGCCAAUGGCACUGCCCGGUAGCUAAAUGCGGAAGAGAUAAGUGCUGAAAGCAUCUAAGCACGAAACUUGCCCCGAGAUGAGUUCUCCCUGAGACUUAGAGUCUCCUGAAGGAACGUUGAAGACGACGACGUUGAUAGGCCGGGUGUGUAAGCGCAGCGAUGCGUUGAGCUAACCGGUACUAAUGAACCGUGAGGCUUAACCUU
rnacentral:rRNA from 1 species